rnacentral:misc_RNA from 1 species
AAGUCGUAACAAGGUUUCCGUAGGUGAACCUGCGGAAGGAUCAUUAUUGAACACCUUUCAGGGGGUCGCUCGAGGGACGCUCUGCGCCGGGGCCUCUUUGGUUCCGAGCCGCGGGUCGAACUCGGACGGCUUUCCGUCCACACCAAACCCCUGUGCACCUUUCUCCGAUGGGAAAUGCGGCCGCUAUGGUUGCAAAGUACCGUCGCAGCCUUCACAAACACUUUUCAAACGUCUAUGGAAUGCAUUUGCGGUGCUCCGCGACUAAAUCACAAAACAACUUUCAACAACGGAUCUCUUGGCUCUC